ACUCCUACGGGAGGCAGCAGUGGGGAAUAUUGGACAAUGGGCGAAAGCCUGAUCCAGCCAUGCCGCGUGUGUGAAGAAGGUCUUCGGAUUGUAAAGCACUUUAAGUUGGGAGGAAGGGCAUUAACNUAAUACGUUAGUGUUUUGACGUUACCGACAGANAAGCACCGGCUAAUUCNGG
rnacentral:rRNA from 1 species